rnacentral:rRNA from 1 species
GACGAACGCUGGCGGCGUGCUUAACACAUGCAAGUCGAACGGAAAGGCCCUGCUUUUGUGGGGUGCUCGAGUGGCGAACGGGUGAGUAACACGUGAGUAACCUGCCCUUGACUUUGGGAUAACUUCAGGAAACUGGGGCUAAUACCGGAUAGGAGCUCCUGCUGCAUGGUGGGGGUUGGAAAGUUUCGGCGGUUGGGGCUGUACUCGCGGCUUAUCAGCUUGUUGGUGGGGUAGUGGCUUACCAAGGCUUUGACGGGUAGCCGGCCUGAGAGGGUGACCGGCCACAUGGGGACUGAGAUACGGCCCAGACUCCUACGGGAGGCAGCAGUGGGGAAUAUUGCACAAUGGGCGGAAGCCUGAUGCAGCAACGCCGCGUGCGGGAUGACGGCCUUCGGGUUGUAAACCGCUUUCGCCUGUGACGAAGCGUGAGUGACGGUAAUGGGUAAAGAAGCACCGGCUAACUACGUG